rnacentral:rRNA from 1 species
UACGUAGGGCGCAAGCGUUGUCCGGAAUUAUUGGGCGUAAAGAGCUCGUAGGUGGUUUGUCGCGUCUGUCGUGAAAGCCCAUGGCUUAACUGUGGGUCUGCGGUGGAUACGGGCAUCACUGGAGUUCGGCAGGGGAGACUGGAAUUCCUGGUGUAGCGGUGAAAUGCGCAGAUAUCAGGAAGAACACCCGUGGCGAAGGCGGUUCUCUGGGACGGUACUGACGCUGAGACGCGAAAGCGUGGGGAGCGAACAGG